GGNNCAACGCCGCGUGAGUGAUGAAGGCUUUCGGGUCGUAAAACUCUGUUGUUAGGGAAGAACAAGUGCUAGUUGAAUAAGCUGGCACCUUGACGGUACCUAACCAGAAAGCCACGGCUAACUACGUGCCAGCAGCCGCGGUAAUACGUAGGUGGCAAGCGUUAUCCGGAAUUAUUGGGCGUAAAGCGCGCGCAGGUGGUUUCUUAAGUCUGAUGUGAAAGCCCACGGCUCAACCGUGGAGGGUCAUUGGAAACUGGGAGACUUGAGUGCAGAAGAGGAAAGUGGAAUUCCAUGUGUAGCGGUGAAAUGCGUAGAGAUAUGGAGGAACACCAGUGGCGAAGGCGACUUUCUGGUCUGUAACUGACACUGAGGCGCGAAAGCGUGGGGAGCAAACAGGAUUAGAUACCCUGGUAG
rnacentral:rRNA from 1 species